AGAGUUUGAUCCUGGCUCAGAUUGAACGCUGGCGGCAUGCCUUACACAUGCAAGUCGAACGGUAACAGGUCUUCGGACGCUGACGAGUGGCGAACGGGUGAGUAAUACAUCGGAGCGUGCCCAGUCGUGGGGGAUAACUACUCGAAAGAGUAGCUAAUACCGCAUACGAUCUGAGGAUGAAAGCGGGGGACCUUCGGGCCUCGCGCGAUUGGAGCGGCCGAUGGCAGAUUAGGUAGUUGGUGGGAUAAAAGCUUACCAAGCCGACGAUCUGUAGCUGGUCUGAGAGGACGACCAGCCACACUGGGACUGAGACACGGCCCAGACUCCUACGGGAGGCAGCAGUGGGGAAUUUUGGACAAUGGGCGAAAGCCUGAUCCAGCAAUGCCGCGUGCAGGAUGAAGGCCUUCGGGUUGUAAACUGCUUUUGUACGGAACGAAAAAGCUUCUCCUAAUACGAGAGGCCCAUGACGGUACCGUAAGAAUAAGCACCGGCUAACUACGUGCCAGCAGCCGCGGUAAU
rnacentral:rRNA from 1 species